UACGAAGGGGGCUAGCGUUGCUCGGAAUCACGGGGCGUAAAGCGCACGUAGGCGGCUUUUUAAGUCAGGGGUGAAAUCCUGGAGCUCAACUCCAGAACUGCCUUUGAUACUGAGAAGCUUGAGUCCGGGAGAGGUGAGUGGAACUGCGAGUGUAGAGGUGAAAUUCGUAGAUAUUCGCAAGAACACCAGUGGCGAAGGCGGCUCACUGGCCCGGUACUGACGCUGAGGUGCGAAAGCGUGGGGAGCAAACAGG
rnacentral:rRNA from 1 species